GAUGAACGCUAGCGGCAGGCCUAAUACAUGCAAGUCGAACGGUUGUAGUGAUACAAUAGUGGCGCACGGGUGCGUAACACGUAUGCAACCUACCUUAUAGACGGGGAUAGCCUUUGGAAACGGAGAUUAAUACCCGAUAGUAACCUUGAUUGGCAUCAAUUAAUGUUUAAAGAUUUAUCGCUAUAAGCUGGGCAUGCGUCCAAUUAGUUAGUUGGUUAGGUAAUGGCUGACCAAGACGAUGAUUGGUAGGGGAACUGAGAGGUUAAUCCCCCACACUGGCACUGAGAUACGGGCCAGACUCCUACGGGAGGCAGCAGUAGGGAAUAUUGGGCAAUGGAGGCGACUCUGACCCAGCCAUGCCGCGUGCAGGAUGAAGGCGUUAUGCGUUGUAAACUGCUUUUAUAUAGGAAGAAAUAAACCUUGCGAGGUAAGUUGACGGUACUAUAUGAAUAACCACCGGCUAACUCCGUGCCAACAUCCGCGGUAAUACGGAGGGUGCAAGCGUUGUCCGGAUUUAUUGGGUUUAAAGGGUGCGUAAGCGGUUUAUUAAGUCAGUGGUGAAAGACGAUCGCUCAACGAUUGCAGUGCCAUUGAUACUGGUAGACUUGAUUGAGAUUGAGGUAGCUGGAAAGGAUAGUGUAGCGGUGAAAUGCAUAGAUAUUAUCCAGAACACCAAUUGCAUACCGAGUUACUAAGUCUCCACUGACGCUGACGCACGAAAGUGUGGGUAUCAAACAGGAUUACAUACCCUGGUAGUCCACACUGUAAACGAUGAUAACUAACUGUUGGCUUUCUGGUCAGUGUACAUAGAAUUCGUUAAGUUAUCACCUGGGGAGUACGCCGGC
rnacentral:rRNA from 1 species